GUGAGGGCCCUCUGGGUCCAACCUCCCACCCGUGUCUAUCGUACCUUGUUGCUUCGGCGGGCCCGCCGUUUCGACGGCCGCCGGGGAGGCCUUGCGCCCCCGGGCCCGCGCCCGCCGAAGACCCCAACAUGAACGCUGUUCUGAAAGUAUGCAGUCUGAGUUGAUUAUCGUAAUCAGUUAAAACUUUCAACAACGGAUCUCUUGGUUCCGGCAUCGAUGAAGAACGCAGCGAAAUGCGAUAAGUAAUGUGAAUUGCAGAAUUCAGUGAAUCAUCGAGUCUUUGAACGCACAUUGCGCCCCCUGGUAUUCCGGGGGGCAUGCCUGUCCGAGCGUCAUUGCUGCCCUCAAGCACGGCUUGUGUGUUGGGCCCCCGUCCCCCUCUCCCGGGGGACGGGCCCGAAAGGCAGCGGCGGCACCGCGUCCGGUCCUCGAGCGUAUGGGGCUUUGUCACCUGCUCUGUAGGCCCGGCCGGCGCCAGCCGACACCCAACUUUAUUUUUCUAAGGUUGACCUCGGAUCAGGUAGGGAUACCCGCUGAACUU
rnacentral:rRNA from 1 species